GGAAUGGAGGCUGAAGUUUUGCCUAGGGUACCAAGAACCCUUGCACCCUGUGCACUAGGUAGCACUUUUUUGCACAGCACUUUACUUUAUGUGGAUGGGCCUGUGGAAAUAGGUUCGCAGCAACUUUAUAUUGCUACUCCACAGGGAACAGAGGUCGGUCACCUCAUUCCUACUGCAAUGUGACACUCUUGACACUUUAAGUUUCUCUGACCUGGAGGCUGAAGGCAUUCUCCACAAGGAAUCUGCCUUUGAAGAUGUCCCUGCCACCACUAAUGAGGAUGCUUUUAAAGAACUAUUUAAAUUGAAGAAAAGAGCAGUGGAUUUUCUUUAUCACAGUCGGACUUUGUCCGAUUACUAUCGGGCCAAACAAAUCCCCAGGGGGUUUCGCAUCCAUAAUGCCCCCACUAUUGGAAGAUUUAAUAUCAAUUUCUGCAAGAGAUGGAUUGCAGUUUUGAACAAAUGCUCCAUGGACCUCCUCUUGCUGGUCAUAGAGGAAGCAACCCGGGAGUAUAAUGUAACUAAAGGGAAAAUCAGCACUUAUGAGACAUAGCAUCAUGAGCUUUUUACAGCGGAACAACCCAGACUUGCCACAUUGGCCAAACAUGUGGAGCAGUACCACAUUGACUUGUUGAAAUUCAAACGGGAGAAACUAGUCAAAGUACAACAAGACUAUGCCCAGCAUCGGGUCUAUACUUGGCUGGGAAGCACUGGGAGUAACAUCUCUACCAAUAAAGUACCAAGAUUUCGACGCAGAAUGCCGACGACACGCGGUGGAACCACUUCGGCCAGUGACUCAGACGACCAAGGGAGGACUGUGAAUAGAGGGCCAAUUCACAUUACCCAUUCAGGGGUAAAGACUCGGGCAAUUCUAGCGGCCCGAGAAGCAGGCGCACCAGACGGGGCGGGCAGACAAGAAGGCAAACGAAGAGGUCGACCACCCAGAAUAAGGAGAGCUUAAUCUUCAAUUUGUCUUCCAGCCCUUUGUCCCCCUGUGAGGGUUACCAUGGCAACACAGCCGGGACCCGUGACGUCACUUCCGGGGGAAGUAGACAGCCCAGGGGGACGGAGCCGAGCCCGGGACAUGUGAGCAGCGGUGACCAGCAUGGGGGAGAUUACAGGGGACUAGCGGGAUGACAGCGGCAGCCGGGACGCCCGCGGUUGCCUAGUUACCAGUGAUGUCACUUCCUGGUAACGUGAUGGGCACGCCUACCGGAAACCCCGCUGGACGCCGGCUCCCACGGCGUGAUCGGAGGUACACACAUUUAAAAGUAGCUAAUGCGAUAAAAAAUGGUUCAUUUUCAUAAGUUCAAUCAGCAACCUCAACAUCUGAGAUAUGCAACGCAUCUGUAGACUGACCAGUAACAUUUGCACCAUGUUAGUAAGUAUGGAAGAAAAACAGCAAGCUGCUAAAAGACAGACAGGAAACAGACAAUCACAAAGAUUGUGGUUAGUAAUAAAUUGAUUUCACAUUAUAGAGAAAGUACCUU